rnacentral:rRNA from 1 species
CGGGACGGGUGAGUAACGCGUGGGUAACCCGCCUUGUACUGGGGGACGAACAGUUGGAAACGACUGCUAAUACCGCAUAAGCGCACAGCUUCGCAUGAAGCAGUGUGAAAAACUCCGGUGGUACAAGAUGGACCCGCGUCUGAUUAGCUGGUUGGUGAGGUAACGGCCCACCAAGGCGACGAUCAGUAGCCGGCCUGAGAGGGUGAACGGCCACAUUGGGACUGAGACACGGCCCAA